CAGCAUGUGGAGGCUAAGUGACGCAUUAACUAAGAUGGUGAAGAACACGUAUGGAAAUGAGUUAGAAGGUGAAAAUGCUCCUGUGAUGUUGGAGAACUUAGAUGGAGAGGAGAAUGCUGAAGAAAUUCAUCUGCUGAAUGGUCAGCCAUAGUGAUGUGUUGAAGGACGAUGAAAAAUAGAAGAACCAAAUGCUCGUCACUUUGCUGAGCUCCAGAUUAGAGCACAGAAGAGGCGGGGUCUCUACUGUGACUGCCCCUCCACAACAAGACCUCCCCAACAUCAGAGACCUGUUUAAACUACUCCCUGGAUUUAAACCACAUUAACCUCUGUCGACUUUUAUGUGUGUUAUUUCUGACUCAGAUUCUCUCCUGUUUUUUCCUUUCUUGAAAUCUCUCAUCUUGUCUCAGGUUUUUAAGGCAGCACUGUGGUUAGGACUGUUGCUUCACAGAAGAAGGUCCUGAGUUCGACUCCACCAUCAGGUCUUUCUGUGUGGAGUUU